rnacentral:rRNA from 1 species
AAUCAACGCUGGCGGCGUGCCUAACACAUGCAGGUCGAGCGCGAAAGGGGGAGCAAUCCCCAAGUAGAGCGGCGAACGGGUGAGUAACGCGUGGGUAAUCUGCCUCCGAGUGGGGAACAACACCGGGAAACUGGUGCUAAUACCGCAUGACAUCGUUGGACCUUCGGAUCUGACGAUCAAAGCCGGGGACCGCAAGGCCUGGCGCUUGGAGAGGAGCCCGCGUCCGAUUAGCAGUUGGUGGGGUAAGUGGCCCACCAAGGCUACGAUCGGUAGCCGGCCUGAGAGGGCGGACGGCCACACUGGGACUGAGACACGGCCCAGACUCCUACGGGAGGCAGCAGUGGGGUAAUUUUACGUCAAUGGGCGAAAGCCUGACGAAGCAACGCCGCGUGGAGGAUGAAGGCC